GACGAACGCUGGCGGCGUGCCUAAUACAUGCAAGUCGGACGCAAGGAAACACACUGUGCUUGCACACCGUGUUUUCUUGAGUCGCGAACGGGUGAGUAACGCGUAGGUAACCUGCCUAUUAGCGGGGGAUAACUAUUGGAAACGAUAGCUAAUACCGCAUAAUAUUAAUUAUUGCAUGAUAAUUGAUUGAAAGAUGCAAGCGCAUCACUAGUAGAUGGACCUUCGUUGUAUUAGCUAGUUGGUAAGGUAAGAGCUUACCAAGGCGACGAUACAUAGCCGACCUGGGAAGGUGGUCGGCCACACUGGGAGUGAGACACGGCCCAGACUGCUACGGGAAGCGGCAGGAGGGAAACGUCGGCCAGGGACGAAAGGCAGAGCGAGCAACGCCGCGGGAGGGAAGAAGGUCGUCGGAUCGGAAAGCACGGUUGUAAGUCAAGAACGUGUGUGAGAGUGUAAAGUUCACACAGUGACGGUAGCUGACCAGAAAGGGACGGCUAACUACGUG
rnacentral:rRNA from 1 species